rnacentral:rRNA from 1 species
AAAGGGUAAUUGCCUCAGUAACGGCGAGUGAAGCGGCAACAGCUCAAAUUUGAAAUCUGGCUCCUUCGGGGCCCGAGUUGUAAUUUGCAGAGGAUGCGUCGGGUACGGGUGCCUUCCGAGUUCCCUGGAACGGGACGCCAUAGAGGGUGAGAGCCCCGUCUGGUAGGAUACCCAGCCCGUGUGACGCUCCCUCGACGAGUCGAGUAGUUUGGGAAUGCUGCUCUAACGGGAGGUAUACUCCUUCCAAGGCUAAAUACCGGCUGGAGACCGAUAGCGCACAAGUAGAGUGAUCGAAAGAUGAAAAGCACUUUGAAAAGAGAGUCAAACAGCACGUGAAAUUGUUAAAAGGGAAGCGCUCGCUACCAGACUUGGGUUCGGCGGUUCAACCGGGGCCACGCCCCGGGGCAUUCCGCCGGCCCAGGCCAGCAUCAGCUUUCCGUCGGGGGUAAAGGCGUCGGGAAUGUGGCUCCCCUUCGGGGGAGUGUUAUAGCCCGUCGUGUCAUACCCUUCGGGGGGCUGAGGUACGCGCUUCUGCAAGGAUGCUGGCGUAAUGGUAGCUAGUGACCCGUCUUGAAACACGGACCCCU